rnacentral:rRNA from 1 species
UACGUAGGGGGCUAGCGUUGUCCGGAUUUAUUGGGCGUAAAGAGCGUGUAGGCGGCUCGGUAAGUCUGCUGUGAAAGUCCAGGGCUCAACCCUGGAAUGCCGGUGGAUACUGUCGAGCUAGAGUCCGGAAGAGGCGAGUGGAAUUCCCGGUGUAGCGGUGAAAUGCGCAGAUAUCGGGAGGAACACCUAUGGCGAAGGCAGCUCGCUGGGACGUUACUGACGCUGAGACGCGAAAGCGUGGGGAGCAAACAGG